rnacentral:rRNA from 1 species
GAUGGAUUCUUUGAUUCUAAUUUCGCUGAAGAUCACAGCCGCAAAAGCCG